UACGGAGGGUGCGAGCGUUGUCCGGAAUCACUGGGCGUAAAGGGCGCGUAGGCGGUUCGUUAAGUUGCUGGUGAAAUCCCGGGGCUCAACUCCGGGGCUGCCAGUAAGACUGGCGAGCUAGAGCACGGUAGAGGCGGAUGGAAUUCCCCGGUGUAGCGGUGGAAUGCGUAGAUAUCGGGAAGAAUACCGGUGGCGAAGGCGUUCCGC
rnacentral:rRNA from 1 species